GACGAACGCUGGCGGCGUGCUUAACACAUGCAAGUCGAACGGAAAGGCCCUGCUUUUGUGGGGUGCUCGAGUGGCGAACGGGUGAGUAACACGUGAGUAACCUGCCCUGGACUGGGGGAUAACUUCAGGAAACUGGGGCUAAUACCGGAUAGGAGCUCCUGCUGCAUGGUGGGGGUUGGAAAGUUUCGGCGGUUGGGGAUGGACUCGCGGCUUAUCAGCUUGUUGGUGGGGUAGUGGCUUACCAAGGCUUUGACGGGUAGCCGGCCUGAGAGGGUGACCGGCCACAUUGGGACUGAGAUACGGCCCAGACUCCUACGGGAGGCAGCAGUGGGGAAUAUUGCACAAUGGGCGGAAGCCUGAUGCAGCAACGCCGCGUGCGGGAUGACGGCCUUCGGGUUGUAAACCGCUUUCGCCUGUGACGAAGCGUGAGUGACGGUAAUGGGUAAAGAAGCACCGGCUAACUACGUG
rnacentral:rRNA from 1 species